UAAACAGUGGAAAGGAAGAAUGUAAAAAUUAUUAUGAUAUACUAAUAAGCUUUAAUCACACCCCUUGUGAGCAAAGAAGCUUUGUUAUUUUUACAUAUGUAUUAUAAGCAAGCGACAAGCACUGUUUUCUUAUAUACGAGUUUGAAAAACAUUAUAUAGCUGUGAAAUUUGAGAUUAAAACGCAGUGCAUUUACGGAUCUCCAGCUAUAAUGUUCAAGCUCAGCGUAAUUUUCUUUCUUGUUUUUGGUUCAGCGAUCGCUUUUGCGCCUAUCGAAGUUGAAAGAAAUGCGGACACAUUAUGCAUUAGAGGCGAUUCAAAACCGGGAUAUUGUGUACUCCUAAGACAAUGUUCGUUCAUUCAUAAUAUUAUUUUGCAAAAAAAUCGUGGAAUUCAACCCACAGGCGAAAAUAUC